CAGGUAUAUUGGUAUCCUCACAGGGGAACACUAAAGCAUUGAAAUUAUCUAAUUAAUCUACAUUUCUUCUUGCUAUCCUGAUGUUCUGUAUUCAAAUGGCAGUGUUUUCUCUUCCACAGAAUGCUAGUUAUUCAAGAUGCUGAAGGUUAUGUUGACAAAGGUUGAAAUUUUCAAAGCAACUUAAAGGAUUUAGAUACACAUAUAUCAUUAUAAUACAUGGUAGAUGUACCCAACUCCUUUGGAUCAUCAUUUGAUGAAAGCAGAGAACUACACAGGAUCACAAAACAAAUUCCUUCCCUUUACUCUCCCAACAAUCCUAACCAUGCCUUAAUUUGUUCAUUUUCUGUGGUCUCUCAACUACUACAGUCCCACAUUUUGGGAAACAGUACCCCACAUUGCUAAGAACAUCUCAACCAUAGUAUAGUCCAGUCACAGAUCUUACAGUUUCAAUGCAACAAAAAAAAUAUUGCAAAAGCAAUUUGUGGCAGGGCACUUUCAGGUGCCUGCCCCUUUAAGGCUGGGAGCAGGCAGCUGACAGGUGCAGACCGGCCCUGAUGAGGCAGCCAUUUUAGAUCUAGGCUCUCAGGUCUGAGGUAGCAAUCUGCCGCUGACAACCAAAGGAGCAACACCUGGCUGAGCUGCUGAUUGGAACAUCCUUGGAGCAGAAGCAUCACUGAGAAGGAAUAGAAGAGUGAUCAAACAAAACAGAAUACAACUGCUAGGCAACAGUCUGGACUGCAACACUGCACACGCUGCCAUUUCUAGAACUACAGGUGCUGGACUCGGAUGGCUUCAUCUAUAUCAUUCUCAGCAUGCAGAAUCACAAACUUGUAAAAAAC